rnacentral:rRNA from 1 species
GACGAACGCUGGCGGCGUGCCUAAUACAUGCAAGUAGAACGCUGAAGGAGGAGCUUGCUUCUCUGGAUGAGUUGCGAACGGGUGAGUAACGCGUAGGUAACCUGCCUGGUAGCGGGGGAUAACUAUUGGAAACGAUAGCUAAUACCGCAUAAGAGUAGAUGUCGCAUGACAUUUGCUUAAAAGGUGCAAUUGCAUCAGUACCAGAUGGACUUGCGUUGUAUUAGCUAGUUGGUGGGGUAAAGGCUCACCAAGGCGACGAUCCGUAGCCGGCCUGAGAGGGGGAAAGGCAACAGUGGAACGGAGACACGGGCCAAACGCCAACGGGAGGCAGCAGUGGGGAAUAGUGGACAAUGGGGGGAACCUUGAUGCAGCGACGCGGCGGGAGAGAAGAAGGUGUUCGAAGCGUAAAGCUCUGUGCUAGGAGAAGAGAAUGACGGUAUCAGAGGAGGAAGCACCGGAGAAAUACGUG